CACGCCGUAAACGGUGCACAUUUGCCGUGGGGGGAAUUGACCCCCCCCGUGGCGUAGCGAACGCGAUAAAUGUGCCGCCUGGGGAGUACGGCCGCAAGGUUAAAACUCAAAGAAAUUGACGGGGGCCCGCACAAGCGGAGGAGCAUGUGGCUUAAUUCGAUGCAACGCGAAGAACCUUACCUAGGCUUGACAUGUGACUGCACGACCGGUGAAAGCCGGUCUCCUUCGAGGGUGUCACACAGGUGC
rnacentral:rRNA from 1 species